UCAAUAUUGUAAGAAGAAAUGGUGAA
rnacentral:piRNA from 1 species